GCCCAGCGGGUGUUCACAGGAGGCACGCAAUCACCGCGCCCGUCAUGACGGUCAGACUGUUUCUGCUGGGUCUGCUGGUCGCCGCCGUCCCGGCAGCCGCCCAGCGCCCCCGGACUCCGCAGCGGCAGGCUAAGCCCGAAUAUGGAAACUACCGGCCACCGCCGCAGCAAUGUAGCGCGGUAGCCGCUCGGGUCGACCUGGUGUCCGGC